rnacentral:rRNA from 1 species
UACAGAGGCCCCAAGCGUUACUGAGAAUCACUGAGUUUAAAGGGUGCGUAGGUGGCGCGUUAAGUCCGUUGUGAAAUCCCUUGGCUCAACCAAGGAAUGGCUUCGGAUACUGGCGUGCUUGAGGCCGGUAUGGGUCACUGGAACUGACGGUGGAGCGGUGAAAUGCGUAGAUAUCGUCAGGAACGCCAAUGGUGAAGACAGGUGACUGGGCCGGUUCUGACACUGAGGCACGAAAGCGUGGGGAGCGAACGGG